AUAGCGUAUAUUAAAGUUGUUGCAGUUAAAAAGCUCGUAGUUGGAUUUUAGAGUAUUAAAUUGUCGAAAGGAGAGCAAUCUUCUUUUCUUUUUAUUUUGGAGAAUCGGUCUACCUUUGGAUUAAAUUUCUUUUUUUUCAAAGGUGUGUACUAUUUUCCUUACUCUUCUUGUGGGUUUGGUUCAAUCUGCCCUUAACUGGGUGGAUUGUUUUUACCUCCCGCUCGUUUACUUUGAAAAAAUUAGAGUGUUUAAAGCAGGCGUUUUCCGCCCUGAAUACAUUAGCAUGGGAUAAUAGAAUAGGACUGUCUGUCUAUUUUGUUGGUUUCUAGAUGGAUAGUAAUGAUUAAUAGAGAUGGUUGGGGACAUUUAUAUUCCAUGGUCAGAGGUGAAAUUCUUGGAUUCAUGGAAGAUAAACAAGUG
rnacentral:rRNA from 1 species